GACGAACGCUGGCGGCGUGCCUAAUACAUGCAAGUCGAACGCAGUGGGGAUGGGUGAGUAACACGUGGGUAACCUCCCAUCAGAGGGGAUAACAUUUGGAAACAGGUGCUAAACCGAUACUGAUGGAUGGACCCGCGGUGCAUUAGCUAGUUGGGGAGGUAACGGCUCACCAAGGCCACGAUGCAUAGCCGACCUGAGAGGAUGAUCGGCCACACUGGGACUGAGACACGGACCAGAAUCCUACGGGAGGCAGCAGUAGUGAUUCUUAAGCAAUUGACGAAAGUCUGACAGAGCAACGCCGCGUGAGUGAAGAAGGUUUUCGGAUCGUAAAGCUCUGUUGUUAGAGAAGCGGUAUAUAACCAGAAAGCCACGGCUAACUACGUGCCAGCAGCCGCGGUAAUUC
rnacentral:rRNA from 1 species